CUUUGGACCCUGGACCCUUUUGGAGAUGCCCAAAUCCAGCUGCCGGCCCCUCCCUCAAACCUAAGGGUCCUCAGCCUCAGUCCCCUCCUCCCUCAGACCCAGGCAAAGUUAAACACAGGCACCUCCCACCCCGGGGAACUUUGUCCCCAGCCCUGAAAUCAGCUCAGACAGAAGACAACCGACUGAGGGAAAGUGCACAGCCUGGCAGGAAAGCAGCUGGGUCAUGAGGUUCGGGCCACCACAACAGCGGACGUAGCCUGCUCCUGCCCUGUGCGCUGGGUGAGCGGACGUGAACAUGAAUGGCAGCAGUCACUGGUCCGUAGCCUCGUGCUCCCUGCCACGGGGCCCCCUCCUCCUCGGCGCCCCGCAGCGGAACCCGAGCACCGAGGGAGCGGCGCAAAGCCGGCCGAGCCGGGAGCUGGUGGGCCUCCCGGAAGUGGGCCUCCCGGAGGGGUUUCCCCCAGCCUCUCUCCCCACCCAACCCUGCCCCGGCCCGGGGCCGCGAACCCACCUGCCCCAGCGCGGCUGCUGCCAUGAUCGGUGCGGCGGGCAAACUGUACCCGCCCGGGGCGCCGCCCAGAAGAAAGACGUUCCGGCCCCGCCCCGCUCACGCCCCCCGACGCGGGAGGGCCCCUCCUCUGACACCCCAGGCCGGCCGGGCCUCCCCGAUUAUAGGGCGCCCAUGGGGAGCUGGGCCCUGCUGGAGAGCGCAUGCGCUGGAAUCCGCGAGGCGAAGGGGAGUCCAUUGAAAUACGCCCUCCUCCCCACCCCCACCCAGCUUCUGUUCCAGCCACGCAACUGCUGUACCAGAACGUACAUGGAAGUUUUGUUUCUGUUCGUUCUUUUGCUUUCAUGCAUUUUAAAGGUACUGUCACGGAACGCUAACGAGGAUAAACAGUUGGAGGUGAGAGAGGAAAGGCCAGGAACAGAAAGAAACCUCCGCAUAUCUCGAUCCCUGGGUGAGAAGGAAAAGCUCUCGCUGUAAACGUCUGUAAAUAGAUCACGUAAAUGAGAAAGGACUUGGGAAAAAGGCCUCGGAAGAGGGUAGCAGGAGAUACAACGCACGUGGUUCAUCAUGCCUCCUUCCGGUCCCUGUCAUCAGCGAGGCCCGGAAAAUGUUAAUCCCCCACCGCAUCAGUGAGCCUCUAAGAACAGCCCCUCAGGCAGGGUUCCCUGGUUAUGCCCCUUCAUGAGUGUCUCCCCACCCACAGGACCCCGAAGGACAGAGUUAGCUAAUUACAGCGCACCAGGAUCCACCUAAUCCCUAGCGAUUCAAACCUGCAUCAGUGCCCCCUAUACCGAACUCCUCGGCCACUGUGGCCCCAAAACCAUCCGUGGUCAGAGUUUCCCCCAACGCCUGCAUCCGGGUUACUGUGACACCGAAAUGUUCGCGCUGUGUCCUCAGACUCCGAUUCCUGGGCCGCUGUGCCUCCGUAAUUCCACCCUGGGAUAUUUUGCCCCCAAAUUCUGUCCCCCGGCCCUAAGAGCCACAGGUCUCGGCAAAUUCCCAAGCCUCCUCCUCCUCCUCAGAGUCCCGUUUCGCUUCCCUCCGCCCCGGUCCUCCUCGGCCACCACCUGGCCCCGGGCCCGGGGGCCGCGACCGCGCCCGGCUCGCCUCGGCCAAUCAGCGACUGCCGCACACCCCCGCCGCGGCCAAUCCGCAGUAGCUAUGCAGCCCCACCCCCUGGCCGGGGAGACUAACCCCCUACCGCGCCCCGCGCCCCAGCGGGAACCCAGGGCCCGCUCUUCCUUAGCUAGGGAGUCCACGCCCUCUAAGUUUCCCCUUCCCCCAAACCCAGGAGUUCGGGCCCCAGCCCCUCCUCCCUCUGACUCAGAGGAGUCUGAACCCCAGCUGCCUCUUCCCUCAGAACUUGUGGAGCCCACCACCCUCCUAUUCCUCACCCGGCGAGGUCAAAAUUCCUUUCCCCCAAGGACCAAGAAUAACCAAGAGGAGGCCCUUUCGUUUCACCUCCUCUACCAUUAUCUCCUAAUAGAGCUUAAUUUACUCUC